AGUGUGCAAUUCUAACAGGUCUUAGCCAGUCCUUCAAGAGCCCAGGAGCUAGAAUGGCUCUUCCAAGUUUUCCAGAAUUGAGACAAAAAGGCCAGGUCUUCGUACAUCUGCAUAGACCAGUUCUUUGAUGUGAGCUAACUCCAGUAAGAGGGUAUAACCUUGAGCAAAGCAGCUCCCUUUAUUCUAGAGCAAUCUCCAAAGUGGUACUCAGCCAUGAAAUGUCUACAGCCAAUACUUCUCGCAGGUGUGGAAAUGCACGCUUCAGACCUGAAGGGGCAACGCAGAAGGCAUACCACAGCAUCCACCACAUGCUUCCACAACAAUAAAAAAUAGUUUGGAUAUUACUUAGCUUAAUAGUUCGAAGAUGUGUCUGUAAAAGUCAGCAUAAUGUUCAGUGACCAGCAACUGCUGAGAUGGUAGCUGCUUCGUCAGGUACAUGAGUCCUCAGUUGACCCACAUGGAUAUAUUGUUGUUUCUGUUUCUACAGCAAAACCUAGCCUUCCCUGACAUCCAAAUCUCCAAAGGACAAGUUGUAUGUGAAAAUGCACUAGGUGGCUCAGAACAGACAGACUCUGUUUGUUUGGGAGAAAGUAGGAGAAGAGAGCAAAAGAUUCUUCCUGGUGAUUAAGAGAAUCCUCCCGGAUCAUGCCCAAUACCAUCAGGGUAAGUACGUUUAUGAGUCUGAAAGAACCAGUGUCACUGAACAUGGGGUGGCCACUAAAGCAGAUACAGCUUAGAUCACAACAUCCAAGUUCCUUUGAAUAUCUGGAAAGCCUUCCCAAGAAGGACAGGUACAAACAAAUCCAGACUGACAAGACUACAAUAAACACCCAAGUCUUCAAUGCCCAGACACAGAUGAACCAUCUACAAGUAUCAGGGCCAUCCAGGGAAACAUGACUUCAUCAAAUGAACUAAGUAAGGCACCAGGGAUCACUCCUGGAGAAACAGAGAUAAUGUGACCUUUCAAACAGAGAAUUCAAAAUAGCUGUUUUGAGGAAACUCAAAGAAAUUCAAGAUAACACAGAGAAGGAAUUCGGAAUUCUGUCAGACAAACUUAACAAAGAGACUGAAAUAAUUUUAAAGAAUUAUGAAACAAUCGUUUUGAAAGUGCCUGCCUUAGACCUCUGCAGUGGAGGUAUGCUGCCUUUGGAUUCAUUGACUCAGUAAGAUGUAGUGAAAACUGAAAACUAUAAUAAAUCUCAACUCCUAUGAGC
ensembl:lncRNA novel transcript